UGUUUUUGUAGGUUUUAGUGAAAUAAAAGUAGAAUAGAAGAUUUAUGUUCGGGAAGGGUCAUCUUCCUCUUUGAGUGUCUCUCGCACGCACACACGCAGCGAAGGAAUCAAAUCCAAUUUCAGACUCUCGGCGUUCUCUUCUCCAUCACUUCCCACUAUCAAAGACAAUUUUGCAGAGUAAAAAGCGAUGGCUGGAAGAGAAGUUAGAGAAUACACAAAUCUCAGCGACCCCAAAGAUAAGAAAUGGGGUAAGGGAAAAGAUAGGAUUGACGAUGAGGAUAUUACUUUCCAACGAAUGGUUGCAAAGGGAUCUUGGGUUCCUGUAUUGGGUGGCUGAUUCAAGCAGAUGCAAGAGGUUGCUGGGGAGCGUGGAGGUUACCUUCAUGGUCGAGGCGCCUUGGACAGUGAUGAUCUACUUUAUCUCAAGGAGCAAAUGGAAGCUGAGGAGGAUGCAGAGCGCCUCCUUCGCCGAACUGAGAAAAGGGCAUUUGCUGCAUUUAAGAUAUCCUUUUGUGGUGAUUGCAAUACAUAACAAUCCAUGUUUCCAUUUUCAUGUUGAGUUGAUUUGAUAUUGAUUUUUCAUAGCCUAUGACUACAAAUUUCUUGUUUUAUUUUUGCAUGUAUUUUAGCGUAUGACCAGAGUCAUCUUAUUUUCAUAAUUGCACUUGAAAACUGUGAAUCAAUAUAUUCUUAACUAGAUCUGACUGUGAACUGAUAAUGGGAGAUGCUCAAGGUUUUGUGGUGGGUUGAACCAAGAUUUUGAACAAACUACAUAGUAUGAUAAUAUAUAUAAGGUGUAACAUAUAUAUGCUUAAGUGAAAAUAUAAGAAUGUGUGUGUGUGUAUUAUGGUACAAGUAGUUUAUAACAAAUCAACUACUACAAAGUUACGAUAAAUCACUGUUACUCGAUAUAAGUAUUUAAAUGUGCUAUAACAAACAGAUUUCUAUGAAUACAAUUAUUCUCACAAUGCAUGGUGUUUAUCGGUAUGUAGUUUUAUGCUGACAUAUGGGGCCCUGACUUAGUACUUUUAAGGGUUGACUCCUGACUUAGUGCUUCGAUGGUGCAUUAAUUUUAUUGCACAGGGUUUGAAUCCCUUUCUGCAUGAUUUUGGCUGUGCUCAACUUAGCUUGCACUGGUUCGGCUGGUCAAACCCUGACUGACUGGUUCCCCGGUUAGUUCAGUUCACUUGGAGUUUAGCAUGUUCAAGGCUGGCUUUUAAUGUUAUUUAGCAUUGAUUGGACUGUUCAGUAGUGCACGGUCAAUUCAAUCAAACUAGCCAUUCUGGUCCAGUUUUAGAAACUAUGCAUUGGAUCUUACGUCAUACAUUUAAGAUGUUGACUGCUAUGCAAGUGCUUUGAUGAAGAAGUUAUGUAGGAGUAGGGUUGAUCCUUAAGCAUGACAAAAAUACAUAUUUCAAGCUUUAUGAUUGUAAUACAGUUUUUAGUCUAGAAAUUUUAUUCAAUGAAUUUUAAACAGGUGUUACAUAUUUUAAUAUAGUUGUCUGAUCCUAGUAACUUCUGCUGAAUUGAUAUAUACAAAAUGCAACCUAGGCUCUCUUUACAUAUUCAUUUGUCCUCUUUCACUGUUUGUGAAACCUAUAUUAUAUGAUACUCGUAACGUGUUUCUGAUAAAGCUGCUUGUUAAGUUGUAUGUAUUACCUUGUUUUCCCUUCACCAACAAAUACAGAGCUGCAAGUUUAGCCGAUUCAACACCUGCAUCUGUACCAUUGGCAUUUCGCGUUGAGCCAAAGCCAAAGAGUGGUAUUAGGCAGCAAGAUUUGCUGAAAAAAGUUGUCGAGAUUAAACCUAAGAGGCCAAGAUCUGAUGGCAACCAGCCAACCCCAUCUUCUCAAAAUGCCCCUGUCACAACAUGUAAGCCUGAUCAUGAUCCUUCAAAAGAGAAGCCAUCUUUGUCAGGACCAAAGAAAGUGGAGGAACAAUCUUUAUCUGCAUCAAAGAAAGCUGAGGAGCAUGCUCCUUUGGGGUCACAGGAAACCGAAGCUAAGCCUAGGAUUGAAAACUCUGGUGGGGGAUUACUGGGCCUGGCAUACGAUAGUUCUGAUGAUGAAUGAUUGGUAAUUGCAGUUCGCUGGCAGAUUACUUCUUUCCAUCAUUGUCUCUGUAGGUUUUAGUGUUAGUACAGAAUGCUUGAUUUGUUUAGAGAAAGUAUUGAAUUGUAGUCAAGGCAUAAAAAGUUUAGUCUUUUGAAGGUUGGAAAAGAAAAUGAUGUACUAACUAUAUCUGUUCAAGUAUGUGAGAUACAAUUUUGUAUGUGAAUUCAUCUCAUCUCA